AGCUAGACUGCUUCACAAGCCAAAGUGGUUAGAAUGCCGGCCUCGUAUGUGGGAGACCGCAGGUUCGAACCACGGCCUAGUCA